AAUCAACGCUGGCGGCGUGCCUAACACAUGCAAGUCGAACGAGAAAGUGGAGCAAUCCAUGAGUAAAGUGGCGCACGGGUGAGUAACACGUGACUAACCUACCCUGGAGUGGGGGAUAACUGAGGGAAACCUUAGCUAAUACCGCAUAAUACCUACGGGUCAAAGGAGCAAUUCGCUUCAGGAGGGGGUCGCGGCCGAUUAGUUAGUUGGCGGGGUAAUGGCCCACCAAGACAGUGAUCGGUAUCCGGCCUGAGAGGGCGCACGGACACACUGGAACUGAAACACGGUCCAGACUCCUACGGGAGGCAGCAGUGGGGAAUUUUGCGCAAUGGGGGAAACCCUGACGCAGCAACGCCGCGUGGAGGAUGAAGUCCUUCGGGACGUAAACUCCUUUCGAUCGGGACGAU
rnacentral:rRNA from 1 species